GUGGGGAAUAUUGGACAAUGGGGGAAACCCUGAUCCAGCCAUGCCGCGUGAAUGAUGAAGGCCUUCGGGUUGUAAAGUUCUUUUGGAGGGGACGAUGAUGACGGUACCCUCAGAAUAAGCUCCGGCUAACUUCGUGCCAGCAGCCGCGGUAAUACGAAGGGAGCUAGCGUUGUUCGGAAUUACUGGGCGUAAAGGGCGCGUAGGCGGUUUGGUCAGUCAGAUGUGAAAGCCCAGGGCUUAACCCUGGAACUGCGUUUGAUACUGCCAAGCUUGAAUUCGGGAGAGGUGAGUGGAAUUCCCAGUGUAGAGGUGAAAUUCGUAGAUAUUGGGAAGAACACCAGUGGCGAAGGCGGCUCACUGGACCGACAUUGACGCUGAGGCGCGAAAGCGUGGGGAGCAAACAGGAUUAGAAACCCGGGUAGUCC
rnacentral:rRNA from 1 species